rnacentral:lncRNA from 1 species
AUGACUUUAUUUUUUGUCUCUCCCUUUUGUUUCCAGUGCCCUUCCCUGGCUCAGCGCCCGGUGCCAACAGAACACCUUGCAGGAUCCACAGCAGCGCAGACAACACUCCAGGAUGCUGGCCUCGGCUUGGAACGGAGCGGUGUCAUGGCGGAGACGACGGCCUUUGUCUCGCAGGGUGUGAAAGCAUCCGUUGUGCCGGCUCCACUGCGGCAGAGCGACGCUCAAAGGGGGAAGAGUGCUGGAAGUCAGAGUUGUGCCGUGCUGGUGGGGACGUCCCCGGGUCCCCGGGAGCCGAGCGUGUCCGAGGAAGGGCUCGCAGUGGAGGAACCUAGUCUGUAAUCCUGGCACUCGCGCCUUCGGUCGCUGCUCGCGGUUUGCUCCUGGGGGUCUGGAUAAUCUCCCUUAGCUUUAGCGCACUGUCUGGCCCGCGCACAGGGCCCCCGUAACAUAUACCCGCUGCCGUUAUCACACGGAGCUGUGGCGUUGCCACUGAAUGGAUGGCACUGUGCCAACUCUGCUGCCAUCCGCCCUUGCAGCUUUUUUUUCUUUCCUCCCUCCUCCCUCCCUCUCUCCCCUCCUCCUCCUCCUCCCGUCGACUUGACGUUAAUUAACACAUGGGUUAAUUGAUUUUAAAAGCUGAAGAAUUACAGUUAACUUUUCCCACAGGGUACAGACGCCAGCCGCUUGGCACGAUCCUGCCGCUCGCGCUGGUGCAGGGGGGCAGGGAAGAGCCCGCAGCAAAACUAGCAACUGCUGAGGGAGCGUUUUCUGCCUGUUGGAGCACGGCAGAAGGAAGCCGACGCGCUCCCGUCUCRUCCUCUCCAAGAUGUCACCGUUAUAUUUUGUUGUAAACAAUCAAAACAAUCCCUCCUCCUUCCUCUCACACCCACCCUCCUGGCAGGAACGCGAGCGCUGCCCAAGUUCGAGCAGGAAAGCGGCUCCCGCAAAGGCUGAUUACAACACACAGAUGACCAGCCUCGGCUGCAUUUCACGUCGCAGGGCUCCCAUCCCAAGCAACCUGGAGCUGGCGAGGCGGGCAAUCUGAGGACCACUGUCUCUUGUACGUUUGUCCUCUUUCCCAGUGCUUUUUUUUUGUCUCCUUAAUUGGUCAGAUACGUUGCUUGUGGUGAAGAAUCUCAACCAGGGGAAAGUUAGUUCUUUGUAAUUACAAAAGAAAUAUACCAUGUGAGGGCUUUGUUUUUUUGCUUUUGCUCUCCCUCACCCCAAUCUCUGCCGUAAGCGCGGGUGAAUGACAGUGCAGUUGGGAGGAGACAUGGCAAUGCUGGGAACUUGCUGCUUUCACCUUCUUCAGCUUUCAUUUUAUUUCAUUUUGUUUUUU